GAAACGCGAUAGGUAAUGUGAAUUGCAGAAUUCCGUGAAUCAUCGAAUCUUUGAACGCACAUUGCGCCUUCUGGUAUUCCGGGAGGCAUGUCUGUUUGAGCGUCAGCAAAAACUCCUCGCUGAACAUUUUCUGUACAGGAAACGUUCAGGCGGAUUUGGGUAUGAAGGACUGGAGGUUAAUUCCUCUGCUUCAGCUUUAAACUUGCUGCACGACCGCCAAAUUCUUUCUGAGUCAGGUCAAUGGAGUGGGUUUUACUUAUCUUUCCAUAUACUGUACCAGAUAUUUUGUUGGUGGCGUUAAACCAUACGGCCGACCCUUAUUUAAGGGGGGCGACUGAAGUUUGACCUCAAAUCAGACAAGGAUACCCGCUGAACUUAA
rnacentral:misc_RNA from 1 species